CCUUCAUCUUCUCACAGCCAAGAGUACUCUGUCUUAGUUUGAGUACUCUCUUGAAUAGACUCGCCACAGCCUAAGCCCGGAUGGCUCCUUCUUCAGAUGGUUGCAAUGGACUUCUUGGAUCGCUUGGAAGCUCACUAAAAUCCCCUCCUCAAGCUUGGAUUGAGUAUAGGUCCAAGCUUGCGAGUGAGCUUCAGUGAGACUUCACACCAGUGGUGCAUCACCACUUCUUUCUCAACUCUCCAUUGCUCCACACAAUGGGCAUAGUCUUCCUCUUUCAACUCGGAUGGAUGGUGAACCAAGAACACCUCUUGUGAACCUGAAACAUCACUCAAACUCC
rnacentral:lncRNA from 1 species